ACGCUCGACACCUACGGGAAGCAGCAGUGGGGGAUAUUGCGCAAUGGGGGAAACCCUGACGCAGCAACGCCGCGUGAAGGACGAAGGUUUUCGGAUUGUAAACUUCUUUUGUUAGGGACGAAGAAAUGACGGUACCUGACGAAUAAGCUCCGGCUAACUACGUACCAGCAGCCGCGGUAAUCUGAGCGGGCUGGCAAGGC
rnacentral:rRNA from 1 species